ensembl:ncRNA F19B6.7 ncRNA
GGAGAAGAUGAAAUGAUAAAAACGCUUGGUGAACAACUGUGCUUUCGUUUUGGUUGGGGGAAGGGACCUGAAAGAGAAGAUUUGUGGCUGUGGAAGAGAUAUAACGACACUUUGUUUUGAAAUUUGUCACUCGUGUU